ACCCCAUGAUAUAAGCCGGCAGGGAAAAUAUUCUCAGUUCUUCCUGUGACUAUGAUUGGGAACAGAAAUACUAUUUCGAUGUGUGUAUGUUUCAAUGACUUCCACCUACAUUGCAACAAAGAUUUAUUCGGAAUACA